rnacentral:misc_RNA from 1 species
CUUUUAAAUAAUUCAAUUCCAACGAUCCGAUUCGUCAAGUUUUUAUCUAUUUUGUAGGCUAUGACGAGAACAACAGUUCGAUACAACAUGUAUUCGUUGUAACCAUGACUUAAUUAGCGGAUAUAAAAUGCGAACAGACUUACCUCUUUGGCGACCAUCAUCGCUGUGGGCACGUACUUCAUGGAGCCGCAGAUGAUGCCUAGCUGAUAAAGAGCGAAGACCAGAAGAAGGCCAACGAAGCAGAUGAUGGGCCCCUUUCGGCCGCCUCGACUAAGCAAGAACGACAUGUCGUCGUUUCGAACGACGACCACGUCACUCGCGUGCACGUACUUGGACGUGUUUUGGGCGGCACGAUAGUGAGCGCCGAUGCGAUCGUCUGGAUCGGUGUGGUGGUCACGGCGGGCUACUCGAGGCCAAGGUUUCGGGGCCUCGUGUUCCCGGUUACGCCAUUAGCUCAUUGCACCUCGCGGAAUCGAUUGGACGCC